rnacentral:rRNA from 1 species
AUGGAGGGGGUUUGAAAGGGGGGUAGUACCGGCUAUGGCCCCCAAACCCAAAGGACUUGGCGGCAGCCCACCCAACUAGAGGAGCCUGCCCCAUAACCGAUACCACCCGUUAACCCAACCUUCCAUAUGUUUGUAUACCGCCGUCUAACCUUUAACCUUCAGGUUAAGGUGGAAAGGAGACCCCCUAAGACAGGUCGAGGUGCAGCGCAUUGGGAGGAGGAGGUGGGCUACAGUUCUAUUAUUGAGCGGAUCUUUCUUUUAUAGGGAAGACUAAGAUGGAUUUAGAGGUAGCGGGGGGUCAAUACCUCCCCGUGAAUUGGAUUUGGGCCGUGU